CUUUUGUCCUCCUCCUCCUUCUUCUCCUCCUUCUCCUUCUCCUUCUCCUUCUCCUUCUUCUUCUUCUGGUCAGUGGUGCAAUCAUGGCUCACUGCAGCAACUCACUCCUGGGCUCAAUCAUUCCUCCCACCUCAGCCUCCCAAGUAGCUGGGACUUCAGGAAUGGCUUCCUACUUUUCUCCAGCCUUCAAAUCACCUGAAAGCUCCUGCUCAAGUUGCAUCUGUGUUGAACAGUCUGUGCCAUGCCAGGCCUCUUUGUUUUGUGGAUUCAUAAGGUAAGCAGAUAUAUGUCAUAUUUUCUUCCUGACCACCCUCCACACUUCAACUUGAAAUCCACAGUGCCUUCCCCCUCAAGCUGCCAGUGAGGUGAAUGCAAUCACCGUUAUCAGCAAUGCUUUGUAUAAGCAACUCACAAACCCUGCUAUGAUGGAUUUACUGCAGUUGAGUGUUGUAGACAACAGGAAGACCAAAUGGAGUGGAGAGAUUGAUAGAAAGAUCAUUUUUCUUCAUCCUAAAUAAAC
rnacentral:lncRNA from 1 species